AGUGAACGCUGGCGGUAGGCCUAACACAUGCAAGUCGAACGGCAGCACAGUAAGAGCUUGCUCUUACGGGUGGCGAGUGGCGGACGGGUGAGGAAUACAUCGGAAUCUACUUUUUCGUGGGGGAUAACGUAGGGAAACUUACGCUAAUACCGCAUACGACCUACGGGUGAAAGCAGGGGAUCUUCGGACCUUGCGCGAUUGAAUGAGCCGAUGUCGGAUUAGCUAGUUGGCGGGGUAAAGGCCCACCAAGGCGACGAUCCGUAGCUGGUCUGAGAGGAUGAUCAGCGACACUGGAACUGAGACACGGUCCAGACUCCUACGGGAGGCAGCAGUGGGGAAUAUUGGACAAUGGGCGCAAGCCUGAUCCAGCCAUACCGCGUGGGUGAAGAAGGCCUUCGGGUUGUAAAGCCCUUUUGUUGGGAAAGAAAAGCAGCAGGUUAAUACCCCGCUGUUCUGGCGGUACCCAAAGAAUAAGCACCGGCUAACUUCGUG
rnacentral:rRNA from 1 species